GGUUCGAUCAUGGCCUGUGACGAACGCUGGCGGAUGCUUUACACACGGGUCGAACGGCAGCACGGACUUCGGUCUGGUGGCGAGUGGCGAACGGGUGAGUAAUGUAUCGGAACGCUCAGUAGCGGGGAGCAACUGCCAGGCGUAGCCACACUGCAUACCGUCUUCCAGGAAAGCGGGGACCUUCGGGCCCCGCACUGUUAGAGCGGCCGAUAUCGGAUUAGCGAAGUCGCGCAACGGCUCACCAAGGCGACGAUCCGUAGCUGGUUUGAGACGACCAGCCACACUGGGACUGGAGGACACGGCCCAGACUCCUACGGGAGGCAGCAGUGGGGAACUUUGACAAUGGGGGAAGCUCGAUCCAGCCAUCCUGCGUGCAUGAUGAAGGCCUUCGGGAUAGCAAGCACUUUCGCAGGAAGGAAACGGCACGGGAUAAUACCCCGUGCAACUGACGGUACCUGCAGAAUAAGUACCGGCUAACUACGUGCCAGCAGCGCGGUAAUACGUAGGGUGCAGCGUUAAUCGGAAUUACUGGGCGAAGCGUGCAGGUUCGGAAAGAAAGAUGAAUCCCAGAGCUAACUUUGAAUCCAUUUUUAACUACCGAGCUAGAGUGUGUCAGAGGGUGAAUUCGCGUGUAGCAGUGAAAUGGGCAGAUAUGCGGAGCGAACACGAUGGCAGCCCCGAUAACACUGACGCUCAUGCACGAGCGUGAAGGGGCCAGGGGAUUAGAUACUCCCGGGUAGUCCACGCCCCAACGAUGUCAACUGAAUGCUGGCUCUUCGGCCUGGUAGCGCAGCUAAUCGUGCAGGUUGGACGCCGCCCUGGGGAGUACGGUCGCAAGAUUAAAACUCAAAGGAAUUGGACGGGGACCCGCACAAGCGGUGGAUGAUGUGGAUUAAUUGAUGCAACGCGAAAAACCUUACCUACUCCUUGACAUGUCUGGAAUCCCGAAGAGAUUUGGGAGUGCCUGCAAGAGAACCGGAACACAGGUGCUGCAUGGCUGUCGUCAGUUCGGGCCGUGAGAUGCUGCCAAGUCCCGCAACGAGCGCAACCCUUGUCAUUAGUUGCUGUUUGAAAGGGCACUUAUCGAGAUCGUUGCGACAAACCGGAGGAAGGUGGGGAUGACGUCGUCCUCAUGGCCCUUAUGGCAGGGCUUCGACGUCAUACGCCUGGUCGGGACAGAGUGGUCGCCAACCCGCGAGGGGGAGCCAAUCCCAGAAACCCGAUCGCAGGUCCGACCAGUCUGCAACUCGACUGCGUGGUCGGAAUCGCUAGUAAUCGCGUGGAUCAGCAUGUCGCGGUGAAUACGUCUGGGUCUUGUACACACCGCCCGUCACACCAUGGGGAGUGGUUUUACCAGAAGUAGUUAGCCUAACCGUAAGGAGGGCGAUUACCACGGUAGGAUUCAUGACUGGGGUGAAGUCGUAACAAGGUAG
rnacentral:rRNA from 1 species